UCGUCGUCAUCGUCAAAGGCCGCAGUUGUGCCCUCAGCUCCGAUCUGUCGUCAUUGUUCGUAGGUCCAAGGUUAAAGUAGGUUGUU